GACGAACGCUGGCGGCGUGCUUAACACAUGCAAGUCGAACGGAAAGGCCCUGCUUUUGUGGGGUGCUCGAGUGGCGAACGGGUGAGUAACACGUGAGUAACCUGCCCUUGACUUUGGGAUAACUUCAGGAAACUGGGGCUAAUACCGGAUAGGAGCUCCUGCUGCAUGGUGGGGGUUGGAAAGUUUCGGCGGUUGGGGAUGGACUCGCGGCUUAUCAGCUUGUUGGUGGGGUAGUGGCUUACCAAGGCUUUGACGGGUAGCCGGCCUGAGAGGGUGACCGGCCACAUUGGGACUAAGAUACGGCCCAGACUCCUACGGGAGGCAGCAGUGGGGAAUAUUGCACAAUGGGCGGAAGCCUGAUGCAGCAACGUCGCGUGCGGGAUGACGGCCUUCGGGUUGUAAACCGCUUUCGCCUGUGACGAAGCGUGAGUGACGGUAAUGGGUAAAGAAGCACCGGCUAACUACGUG
rnacentral:rRNA from 1 species